UACGUAGGGGCAAGGCGUUGUCCGGAAUCAUUGGGCGUAAAGAGCGUGUAGGCGGCCCGAUAAGUCCGCUGUGAAAGUCCAGGGCUCAACCCUGGAAUGCCGGUGGAUACUGCGGGCUCGAUCCGGAAGAGGCGAGUGGAAUUCCUGGUGUAGCGGUGAAAUGCGCAGAUAUCAGGAAGAACACCCGUGGCGAAGGCGGCUCUCUGGGACGGUACUGACGCUGAGACGCGAAAGCGUGGGGAGCGAACAGG
rnacentral:rRNA from 1 species